GACAGAGGGUGCAAACGUUGUUCGGAAUUACUGGGCAUAAAGAGCACGUAGGUGGUGCGCUAAGUUACGUGUGAAAUCCCCCGGCUCAACCGGGGAAUUGCGCGUGAUACUGACGCACUUGAGGCGGGUAGGGGUGAGCGGAACUCCAGGUGGAGCGGUGAAAUGCGUAGAUAUCUGGAGGAACACCGGUGGCGAAAGCGGCUCACUGGACCCGAUCUGACACUGAGGUGCGAAAGCUAGGGUAGCAAACGGG
rnacentral:rRNA from 1 species